rnacentral:lncRNA from 1 species
UUGAUAUCUGCGACGUGGCUGCCGCUUAUGACCAUACCAAGUCAGCCACCGAAAAAAUACUCUCUCCUACUUUUUUUGAACUGUCAGGUCUCAGAUUUCCUCCAUCUGAGUGCCUCUGGUUCUUCAAACUUACUGAUUCAAACCCUACCUUCUUUCACUCUGUAAUUUUCCCCAGUCUCAAACAAUCACUUUCCCAUGCACUCCUCCACUUCCUCCCUAUCGUCGGCGGCCUAACAUGGCCUCCUGAAUCCUCCAGACCGUUCUUUGUUUACCAUCUUAAUAAAGAUUCCGUUACAGUUACACUUGCCGAGUGUAAUGGUGAUUUCGAUCGCCUUAUAGGCAAUGGAAUCCAUGAAGCUGUUGAAUCACAUCCUUAUGCUCCCCAAUUCGUCGCAACUGAAACUAGGUCACCAUUAUUGGCUUUACAAGUAACAUUCUUUCCUAACAAAGGCUUUUGCAUUGGUAUGGCAACGCACCAUGCAAUAUUUGACGGGAAAAGCACGUCUAUGUUCCUCAGAGCCUGGGCUUAUACAAGCAAAUAUAUUGUCGAAAAAGGUGAAGCCCCACGUUUACUGCCAGAAGAAAUCACCCCAAGUUUUGAAUGGAAAAGUAUCCAAGACUCAAAAGGGUUGGAGGAGGCGUACAUUAACUUGUGGGCGACCAUAGGGAAACGGUUAGAAUCAGGUUCAGACUCGAACCCAAGAAGUGUGAAGCCGUUGCGGAAACUUGAAGUGCAACCUGACUUGCUUCGAGCAAACUUUCAUUUAUCUAGUGAAGUCAUUAAGAAGCUUAGAGAAAGUGUGUUGCGUUUUCACCCGGAAGCAACAGGCCCUACAAAACGACUUAAUCUCUCCACUUAUGUUCUGGCAUGCUCUUAUGUAUCGAUCUGUCUUGUCAAAGCGAGAGGAGGAGAUGCCGACAGAGAGGUUUAUUUUGCGUGGUCAGCGGAUUGUAGAAGUCGUUUAGACCCUCCUCUUCCACCAAAUCAUUUUGGUAACACUGCUGUGGUUCAUCACUUUGUUUGUAAAGCCGGAGAUUUUAUGCAGGAAAAUGGAUUAGCUAUUAUAGCCGAGAAGCUUAGCGCUUCCAUAAGGGGAUUGGAGAAGGGACUCAUUGAAGGUUCAAAUGAGAGGCUUGAGAUGUUGUUAAGUUUGGGACCAGAAGCGCAAGUAAUUAGUGUUGCUGGAUCGACCGGAAUGGAAUUUUACAACGCGGAUUUUGGAUGGGGAAAUGUCGAGAAGGUGGAGAUCACUUCCAUAGAUAGAACUGGAUCGUUUUCAGUGUUUGAUAUUGGAAAUGGAAGUGACCGAAGGACUGAAAUUGGCGUGGCUUUGAAGAGGUCUGAAAUGGAAUCUUUUGCUUCUUUUUUCUCUAAUGGCGUAAAAGUUAUGCCUAGGCUAUAAAAAUCACAGGAAGUAUGUUUUAAUAUCUCUGUGUGUUCCAUGACCUUUACUUCUAGACUAUAUUGAUUUUUUUUUAUGAAUUUUUUUAAUAGUGUAAAAUAAUAAUAUAAAAUGUUAAUAAAAAUAUAUUUUUAAAUACUAAUCAUUGAAUUUCCAAUACUUUAUCUCGAAGCAUAGGCCAUACUUUUAGGUGCAUCAAUAAAGACCCUUCCUACCCUCCUUUUAACUAAACAUCAAUCUUCUUUAACUCUAACAUGGUUCCUUUAUUCCAUUCUACUGAUUCUCCCAUCAUAGCUUUUUUUUAAAGUAAAAAUUAAAAAAUAAUUCUUGAACAAAAUUAAUUCAAAAUCAACUCCAGUAACAAUUAAAACUACAAUCAACAAUUAUAAUUAUCAAACGAUGGCUAUUAUAGCAUUGUUGGGUAUUCCAAAACACAUAUACUCAACAAAAACAAUAAUUGUUUUUUAAAGAAAACCCAAGAACUUUGCUAGAUAGAUUUAGAAUUGUUAAGGGUUUAUACAAAUAUUUCUUGAAGAUCAAAUGCUUUUUUUUAGGCUUUGAGUAAUUACUUCAAGGGUGGGUUGUUGCAAACUUUAAGUCAUUCAAAUAUCUGGCCUUUAACGGUAAUCCACAUGAACCAUCAAUGAAAAAUCUUCUAAACCCUUUUAGGAGAGAGAGAUGGAUAUGACUUUAAUUGCUAGCUUUUUAUGUGUUUUUUAUGUGUUUUGUAAUGUAUUGUUUACUAUACAUAAAAUGAGAGACAUAACAUUUUAUUUAUAAAAAAAUCUAAAAACCCUAUUAAUGGUAAAAUAUCAAUUUUCCCCCUAGAUAAUAUUAUAUAUAUUAUUUCAAGAAAAUUUUAUAAAUUUAUUCGAUCAAGUCCCUAUUUGAUUUAUCUAGUCCAGAAUUGUAAUUUCAUAUAUAAAUUACAUUCCACUGCUUAAUUUCUAAAACUUAUUUACAAUCAAAUCAAAUUUAAUUAAUCAUCCUAGUUUAAUUGUUUACCUAUUGUUAUUAUGUGUAUGCUCAUUAGGUUCUUUAAUAAGUUGGUCUAAAUAUAAAUCACAAUCCUAAAUAAAAUAAGAUUAAAUAAAUUAAACAAAUUAAAUUAUUAUCAAUUCAAAAACUGAUUGAAUUAUAGUUGAAGAUCAAGUAUAAUGUCUUAGUACCUGUCAUAAUCCUCUAAAUAUUAAGAAAAUCAUAAAUGAUUUGACUUAACAUUUCAAUAACUAGUUUCUUAGUGUAACUAUUAUUCAUUAAUCAACAAUGUUUCAAUUUAGACAUUAUAGCAUAAAAUGUAUCUACUCUAUCAAAUCAUAUUUGUUCUCAACACCAUAGUCAUUGAUUAUUUGAAUAAGAUUUGAAAUUUUUUUCAAAACUCUUUUCAUCUUGUGCAAGAAUUUAUAAUCAAUACUAUUUAAAAAUAAAUUGAACAUUUUUAUUAAUUCACGUAGGGUGAUAAAUCCUUUCUUUAUUGCUCAAAUACCUUUAUAUACUUAUGUUAUACUCAUUAUAUAUCUAUUUGUUACAUUUGAUUAGGACAACAUUUAAUGGGAAAAAUAUUUUUUUAAUUAAAUAUAUUAAAUUAUUUUUUAAUCAAUUUUAAUUUUAAUCAUAAUUUUAACUAUAUAUAUAUAUAUAUAUAUAUAUCAAAUCAACCUCGAUCUAGAAGAUGAACAUCAUGAUAACGUUGCCGAGUUCUAUAGAAGAGCAGGCUCAGCUACUUUCCUUUUGUUUUUUUCUUGGCACAGAAAUGGCUCAUUUCGAUCAAUCUGAAAGCUAUUGGUUGCCGAGUUCUAUUAAAGGAGCAAGAGCUGAAAUGAAAAAAACAUAUCCCACUCUCAAUCUCUCUCUCAUUCUCUCACUAUAGCUAUCUCUAUGGCAUCACCGAACUCUGUAAAGAUACUUGAUAUCUGCGAAGUGGCUGCCGCUUAUGACCAUACCAAGUCAGCCACCGAAACAAUACUCUCUCCUACUUUUUUUGAACUGACAUAUCUCAGAUUUCCUCCGUCUGAGUGCCUCUGCUUCUUCAAACUUACUGAUUCAAACCCUACCUUCUUUCACUCUGUAAUUUUCCCCAGUCUCAAACAAUCACUUUCCCAUGCACUCCUCCACUUCCUCCCUAUCGUCGG